rnacentral:rRNA from 1 species
ACAUGCCUACAACAUAAUGUUAAUGCGUUGGAUCCCAUUAGAACUUUGCAGUUAAGUGCACUUGGGAUAAAGUAGUACUAGGAUGGGUGACUUCCCGAGAAGUCCUAGUGUUUUACAUGCC